rnacentral:rRNA from 1 species
CCCUGGCUCAGAGUGAACGCUGGCGGCAGGCCUAACACAUGCAAGUCGAACGGCAGCACAGCAGUAGCAAUACUGUGGGUGGCGAGUGGCGGACGGGUGAGGAAUGCAUCGGAAUCUGCCUAUUUGUGGGGGAUAACGUAGGGAAACUUACGCUAAUACCGCAUACGUCCUACGGGAGAAAGUGGGGGACCUUCGGGCCUCACGCAGAUAGAUGAGCCGAUGCCGGAUUAGCUAGUUGGCGGGGUAAAGGCCCACCAAGGCGACGAUCCGUAGCUGGUCUGAGAGGAUGAUCAGCCACACUGGAACUGAGACACGGUCCAGACUCCUACGGGAGGCAGCAGUGGGGAAUAUUGGACAAUGGGCGCAAGCCUGAUCCAGCCAUGCCGCGUGUGUGAAGAAGGCCUUCGGGUUGUAAAGCACUUUUGUCCGGAAAGAAAAGCUUACGGGUUAAUAACCCGGGGUUAUGACGGUACCGGAAGAAUAAGCACCGGC